GAUGAAGAACGCAGCGAAAUGCGAUAAGUAAUGUGAAUUGCAGAAUUCAGUGAAUCAUCGAAUCUUUGAACGCACAUUGCGCCCGGUAGUAUUCUGCCGGGCAUGCCUGUUCGAGCGUCAUUUCAACCCUCAAGCCCCCGGGCUUGGUGUUGGGGAUCGGCGAGCCUCCGCGCCCGCCGUCCCCUAAAUCUAGUGGCGGUCUCGCUGUAGCUUCCUCUGCGUAGUAGCACACCUCGCACUGGGAAACAGCGCGGCCACGCCGUUAAACCCCCAACUUCUGAACGUUUGACCUCGGAUCAGGUAGGAAUACCCGCUGAACUUAAGCAUAUCAAUAAGCGGAGGA
rnacentral:misc_RNA from 1 species